rnacentral:rRNA from 1 species
AGAUACCCGGGUAGUCCACACCGUAAACGAUGAAUGCCAGACGUCAGCAAGCAUGCUUGUUGGUGUCACACCUAACGGAUUAAGCAUUCCGCCUGGGGAGUACGGUCGCAAGAUUAAAACUCAAAGGAAUUGACGGGGGCCCGCACAAGCGGUGGAGCAUGUGGUUUAAUUCGACGCAACGCGCAGAACCUUACCAACCCUUGACAUACUUGUCGCGGAUUCCAGAGAUGGAUUCCUUCAGUUCGGCUGGACAAUGUACAGGUGCUGCAUGGCCGCCGUCAG